rnacentral:lncRNA from 1 species
UGAUGGCACACGACAAAUUACGUGCAAAUGUACUGUUAAAGAAGAUCAAAAGCUUCAUCUCUAUAAGGCAAGUCUUUUGCUACUGGCUGAGUAUUAUUUAUGGACAACGGGUCCAAGUUUAUAAGUUGCCUCUUGUGUUAAGGAGACUUUUGCUAGUGGAAACAUUGAAACAAGACUUAUGAUGUUUUGAAUUGAAUGAUAUAAUCUUUUCACUGUGAAUUAUGAAGGAGAUGUCGAAUAUAAGCGAUAGAUAUCAAGAAAGAGACGAAACCUUUGUGUCUCAAAAGAACCUUUUAGAAGUCUCUCCAGGAAUAAUCUCAGUUAAGAGGAAAAGAAUUAAAAUGAAAAGAAGGAAGAAAAUUCUCAAGAAGUAAGACUAAUUCUACAUCUAAUUGAGGAACAGGCUUGUUAAUUUAACAAGGAAAGCUCCAGUAGCUAUUUAUUAUAAACCAAUUAAAAAUUGAAUUAAAUUAAUAGUUAACUUGUAAUUGAAUGUCUAAUCCAACAAACUAUGCAUAAGAUUACAGAUGUAACUAUGUAAUACAAAAAACCUCUGCUUAUCGUAGACCAAAGUGAAUAUGCCAAUAUUUAGGAAUUUCUUUCAGCAUCAUGGGAUUUAGAUCCCUAUAAUUUUUUUUAUUUUAGUGUAGUGACAUCCGGAAGACCAGAAUUAUCACGUACCUCGUAGUAGUCAUUUUAUGUCUUUUAAAGCGCCACAUUAUUUCCCAUACAGUCAUAAUAUAUCUAUUUGUUGUUUAUUUAUUGUUGUCGUGUGUGGAGUCUCAUCUUGAAUAUGAACAUUUUUCCGGUAGGUCGAGCUGAACUCUGUUCGUCACAUGGUAGCAGACAUGUUAUGCGUUCAUAAAAAUCUAGACCUGAGGUUGGCACUAUGUUCAAAGAGUACCUUAUCUGCUCUCUCGGUAAGUCAAUCUGCUACUCUGUGCAUGUUUAGCUGGACUUUUAAGUUACGCCUUCUUUUUUCCCCUUUUUAUUUUUUUUUGGUCAUUUGCUUGUUGGAAUCAUCAUCAUUACAGAAUGAGGAAGAAAAAUUCAAGACCAGGGGAAAUAAGGAAAUAUUAAACUUAUAGCUUUUGUUUUAUCAUAGAAAGUUUACUUUCAAGGGGUUGAGAAAAAAAAAAAUUAUAUAUAUAUAUAUAUAUAUAUAUAUAUAUAUAUAUACACACAUACAUAUAUAUAUAUAGGGAUGGCAAAAUCCGGGUCUGGGUCCGGGUUUAGCCUUCCCGGUUCCGGACCCGGACGCCAUUUUCUUUCUCUCGGUCCCGGAUUAAAACCCGGUUUUUUCACUUCGGGUCCGGUACGGGUUCAACCCGAAAAAAUCCGGGUUUUGAACCCGGAUCAAUGAAUUAAUUUCUAUAAUUCCAAAAAUAAAAUCUUCAUAUGAAGAUGGCGAUUUUUCACUGGAACCAGAGAAAAUAUUUAUGGCACCUAGAGGGAGUUCCCUCUGUUUUGCAGAUCAUUUAUACAGAACAAAAUGAUUAAAUACCCAAAAAGGAGGAUCACAUGUCUGCAGAUUUGGCCCGCGGAAAAGAUUCAACACAAUCUCCAAAACCAUUUUAGAAUCCGCGAUGGUGAAGAUGCGUUGUCACAACUCAAACAACGACAGCCGAUGAUGAUGAAUACAGGAGCUACAAGGUUGCGACGGUGGUGAACCCAAGAGAACGAGUUGCGACGGUGGCGAACCAAGCUUGCGACGGUGGUGAACCCAAGAGAACGAGUUGCGACAGUGGCGAACCAAGCUUGCGACGGUGGUGAACCCAAGAGAACGAGUGGCGACGGCGGCAAACCAAGCUUGCGACGGUAGCAGCUUGGAUCGUAUGGUUGUUUGGUUGCAGCAAGCGGCAGCUUCAAUGUGUGAAUGUGAGUAUGUAAAUUAGGGUUUUUGUUAUGUUUGUAUUUAUAUUAAAUAAAAAAUAAUAUUAAAAUAAGAUAUCCGGGUCCGGGUUCCGGAUAUACGGGUUACUCUAAACUCGGAAUCGGACCCGGAUCUAUCCGGGUCGUUAAAAUUCAUUCCGGAUCCGGAUUUUUUUACACUCCGGUACGGGUUCAACCCGGUCCGGAUUAUCCGGAUUCGUCCGGGUCCGAUCCGGGUCCGGGUUAUUCUGCCAUCCCUAUAUAUAUACAUACACACACGACAACAAUACAUAUAUAUACAAAAUUGUGGUAUCGUGCCACAGUUGCACUCAACCGUUGGAUUUCAAUGGACCCCACCUAUCUAAAUGGAUCCAACGGCUGGAUGCAACUGUGGCACGGUACCAUAGUUGCACCGUAGCCAGACCCUGCAAAAGUAUAUUGAAGUUUUUUUCUGGCCUUUUAUGUAAUCACACCCGCCAGUAAUGAGAUAAUUUACAAAAAGGUCCUUGAUGUUCUGUUAAAAUUUAAUUAAAUUAGUAAAUUCAUCCAAAACGGCAUCGUUUUGAAUGUGUUUUUAUUAAGAUUUAUCCAGCAUUUCGUACAUAUAUCAGUGCUUUUUUUUUUUUGUUUAAUUUUUAUAAAGUGUUGGUUAGAAGGCAAACAUCUUACAUUAAAAUGGAGUCUUCUUGCGGCGGCCAAAGGAGAUAUAUAUAUAUAUAUAGGCACACACACAUACACUAGAGUUUUGUUUAAGUUAUAUUUCACAUGGAUUAAGUUGUAGAUGACAGAUCUCUAAAAGCAUCUUGUAAAAUUGUACAUUAAAAAAUAAUAGUUCUAGUAGUGUUAAAGGCAGCUGCUGAAAACAGUUUCUACUUAUGCUGCGUUUACUAAACUGGAAUCGGAAUGAGUUGGAAUCAGAAUGGACGGGAAUCGAAAUGAGCUGGAAUGAGAAUCAAAAUAAGUUGUUUACUUGAACUGUAGGAAUCGAAAUCGGAAUGAGCUGGGUUGCCAUUAAUGUGUUUACUUUGUCUUGAAUCGGAAUCAGAAUGAGUUAGAUUGUAACAAAUUACUAAAAAAUACUUAAUGAAUUAUUGUCAUAAUUAUUAUUAUUAACUAAUUUUAAAUUUUUUAUCAAAUUAUUAUAAUUAUAUUAACAAUUAUUAUAAAAAUAUAUUAACAAAAUAAUAUUAAUAUUCAAAAAUUAUAAUUAUUANNNNNNNNNNNNNNNNNNNNNNNNNNNNNNNNNNNNNNNNNNNNNNNNNNNNNNNNNNNNNNNNNNNNNNNNNNNNNNNNNNNNNNNNNNNNNNNNNNNNAAAUCACAUCUCAUGACUCAAUCAAACAUAUAAUAUGCAAAUAUAUAAUCAUGAUAUUAAAUCAUAUUAUCAAAUAUAAAUGCUUCACGAAAUUCAUAUUAGUAAUAAUAGUAUCCACUCACAGAUCAUGUUUCACUUCGGGGUGUUUGUUGGGGCUCCUAUGGGUUCUUGAAUUCUUGAGUUCCUCCUAAAAUAUAAGAUUAAAAAAUUAACUAUUAAAACUGAUAUAAAAAUUGAUACGUAUCACAAAAACUGUAAUAUAACUGUUCAAACUUCAUAUAUCUAUUACCCAUUAAUUCAUUGGAUAUUAAUGUAAGUGUUUAAUUUCAUUUCCUAUAACAUUCCCUCUCAAUUUAUCUUUUUAAUUUCUUUUCCCACUCUUGGCUUCUUCCUUUCUUUUAUUUUUUUUCUUUCCUCUUCUCUUUUGCUCUCAGUUUUUCUUCUUUUUCUUCUCUGUCUCACUUCAAAAAAUGAUGCAAAAUGAGAGCUGGUUUCAAUUCCUUCAAAUUCAUAUAUGUCCACCGACUCAAGCACACAAGUAGAGCAUACGGGUGAAGCAUGCACGUGCCUUGCAUGAAGCUGGUAGCUUGCUGCUGCUUUGAUAAUUAGCCACGUUUGGCUUAUAAAGAAGCGGUGAAGCAUGCACGGUGCAUUACAUUCAUGCUAUCUACGGAAUGAUAAAAACUAAACUUCAAGUACAGCGGAGUAAAACCUGUGCACACAGCUUAACAUUUUAUGUGGCAACUCUGGAAGAAAUCUCACAAUGAAAAUAAAAAUUACAGGCGAAUGUUGCAAGUAUAUUUCAUUCAUAUGUCAAUUUUUGAAAACCUUGCUCUGUAAGUAAACCAACCAAUCUAUUUGUGACAAAUGGGAACAAGACAGUAACCUCCUUAUUUGAUGACAUGCAGCAUUUGCAGAAGCUGAAACAGUAAACAUGGGAAUGAAAGGAUUAGAAUCAUUUGAUAUAUUUUUUUUUAACUAGAAUUACUUCCACCGUAACUGAUAUAAUUAAAUAAGAGAGAAUUUACAAACUAAUUUUUUAAAUUCUCUCAAAUAAGUAAGCAUAUUAAUUAAAAAAUUUAAAUUAAAAGUAUUUCAUUUAAUUAUUUUUUUAUUGAAAACUAAUAAUUAAUACAUAUGCAUUCUCUACAGGUUUAAUCAGGUUUUGUUGUUGUACACAUUAGUAUAAUAAGUUUAAAUGAAGUUUAAACUUUGAUAAUUUAAAUUAAAAUUCUCACAAUUAUUUGAAGAUUGUGGUUCGGUGAAAUGAAGUUUAUCCAGUAUAACAUACCAAAAAGGGGGCGGCUAAGGAGGCAGCCAGGAGGCAACCGAGAGUUAGCAAAAGAGGCAAGAAAAAGGCAACAAGCCAACAAUGAAGUCAAAAGCUCAAGAAGGGAAGCGGUGAAGCAAAUCCGACAAACGCAAGCAAGAGUUAAGCUGGCUGUUUCGCAUGACACAUGUGAAGCUUCAUCACAAGCUGGCUGUUUCGCAUGACACAUGUGAAGCUUCAUCACAAGCUGGCUGUUUCGCAUGACACGUCUAUGCUAUUUUUCUUCUGGAUUUAAUCUAUCAUUGUCGACGACGACGAUUUGCUAACCUCACAAGUGAUAAGGACUCUACAAGAGUACAAAACAGAGACUCGUAAUACUACUGAAUAUAGCAUUUCUGUUUCCUUAUUAAUGGAGAAAGGCAGUUAUGUUUUUGCAGCGGUCAAGGGCAUUGAAGAUAUUAUGGCUUUACUUAUCAUCGUUAGCUUCCUUCUGUGUCUCCCAUUCUUCCUCUUCUUCUUUGUUUUGCAAAGGCACAAAACCUCGAAAAAUAAUACUAAAUUACCACCAGGCCCCCGGGGCCUUCCCUUCAUCGGUAACUUACAUCAGUUUGAUGUCUCAAAGCCUCAUGUGUCAUUUUGGGAACUAUCGAAAAAAUAUGGCCCCCUCAUGUCCUUGCGUCUUGGUUUUGUGCCGUCCUUAGUAGUUUCCUCAGCAAAAAUGGCUAAAGAGAUAUUGAAAACCCAUGACCUUCAAUUUUGUAGCAGGCCAGCCUUGGUAGGGCAACAAAAGUUAUCUUACAAUGGUCUUGAUUUGGCUUUUUCACCCUAUGAUGAAUAUUGGAGAGAGAUUAGAAAAAUUUGUGUCAUUCAUCUCUUAAACUCUAAUAAGGUACAAAAUUUUCGACCCAUUAGAGAAGAUGAAGUUUCAAGAAUGAUUGAAAAGAUUUCAAAAUCAGUUGCUGCUUCUAAGCUCGUAAACUUAAGUGAGGUAAUGAUGUCUCUUACUAGCACUAUUAUUUGUAGAAUUGGUUUUGGCAAGAGGUACGAUGAAGAUGAAGCAACAAGUGCAAGAAGUAGAUUCCAAGCCUUGCUUAAUGAAACUCAAGCCUUGUUUGUAAGCUUUUUUGUUACAGAUUAUUUUCCUUUCAUGGGCUGGAUUGAUAAGUUCACAGGAAAGAUGCAACGUCUGCAAAAUAACUUCCAAGAACUUGAUAGAUUCUACCAGGAACUCAUCGACGAGCAUUUGGAUCCAAACAGAACAAAAUCAAAAUUGCCGCAACAGGAGGAUAUAAUUGAUGUUUUACUUCAAAUAAGAAAAGAUCGUGGAUUUAAAGUUGACCUGACUUUGGAUAACAUCAAAGCAGUGCUCAUGGUGGAUAAUUUUAUAAAUAGUUAUAUGUAGACUCGUGCUUAGGCGCAGACUCAAAAUUUUGUGCAGAUGCCCAAUUUUACAGUGUUGUAAAACGUUUUAUAAUGCUGUAAAGUGCUCUUUGACGUCUCCGCCUGAGCAUGAUUAAUUUAAUAUAAUUUUAUUCGCUUUAACUAAUUUAAUAUGUAUAUUGUUUGCUUUGCAGAACGUAUUCGUUGCUGGAACAGACACAAGUGCAGCAACUGUGGUUUGGGCCAUGACCUACCUAACGAAGAAUCCUAGAGCAAUGAAAAAAGUUCAACUGGAAAUUAGAUCGUUGAUUGGGGGCAACAAAGGCUUUGUAAAUGAAGAUGAUGUUCAAGAACUACAUUAUCUUAAAGCCGUAGUGAAGGAGACAAUGAGAUUGCAACCUACAGUGCCGUUACUACUUCCAAGAGAAGCAAUUCAAAAGUGCAUAGUAGAAGGGUAUGAAAUACCAGCUAAAACACGUGUUUUUGUAAAUGCAUGGGCGAUAGGGAGAGAUCCUGAAGCUUGGCAGAAUCCUGAGGAAUUUUAUCCGGAGAGAUUUGUUGAUAGUUGUAUUGACUUUAAAGGGCAAAACUUUGAGUUAAUACCGUUUGGUGCUGGCAGAAGAAUUUGUCCUGGGUUGAAUAUGGGAAUUGUAACUGUGGAGCUUGCACUUGCUAAUCUUCUUUACAAAUUUGAUUGGGAAAUGCCGCCUGGAUUGAAGAGCCAUGACUUUGAUGUUCUGCCCGGACUUGCCAUGCAUAAGAAGAACGUUCUUUCUCUUCGGGCUAAGUAUCAUGUUGAGUAGGUAAAUUAAGGCACCUCCAUCAAUAAGAAGGUAAAUUAAGGCACCUCCAUUAAUAAGGGUUUGAUCUAGCUAAAGGAAAUAUAUGUUAUGCGUCCUCAAUUGUGCUUCUCAAUGUUUUCUUUCUUUCUUCUUAUGUAUAAUGGAUGUUUACGCGAAUGGUUUUUAGUAAGUAAUUUUCUUUUAGUUCAAAAUUUUGGGAGGUAAGGGCUAGAAGAUAAUAGGGACUCUGCCCACUCUCUUAUACCUUUAAAAAAAUGAUAUGAAUGUGAGUAUCAAUUUAUCACAUUUAUUUUGUCUUACAUUUUUCUCUCUCCAAUUUCAAAUUAUAAAUGUAUAUAUAAAUACACGAAACGACCAAUCAAUAUUAUUUACUUGAUAUAACUAAUAAGUAAAUUCAUGGCUUUUUCUAUCACCCCUUUUUUUGUUAGGAGUAUCAGUAAAAUCAGCUCUGUAAUGCUCUACAUCUUUACCGUGAAAGCUGCAUUUUUAUGGAAUCAGCUUACAGUUAUGUACUAACCAAAAAAAAAGAAAAAGAAUAUUACAUCAAUUCUUCAUUGAGAUUUGAGACAUUUUCUUCCUCCAGAAAGUAUACAAGUUAAAAAAACUACACAUCAUUGUGAUUUCAUAACAGCAUCAUCCAUCACUUUCCUAUGAGCUUUUUAUGAGGCCGGAGGCUAAAGCACAAUCAGUUGAGCUUUUAUUGCAUUUCCCACAGCAAGACUGUGGCAAAUCAGUUGACUUUUGACGUUAAAUGGUGGUUUCGGCUUGCAGUCACUUGUGUUUGUUCAAUUUCAAUAAAGGAAAUUUCAUUUUUGUUAAAAUCCAUGAAUAUUAAUUACUACCUUGUUCGCUGUUCAGUAAAACUAAAACAACACCAAAACUUAAAUAUUUUCGCUAUAUCACAAACUUAAAUAUUUUUUUUUUUUCCCCCUAUACAUCCCUAGUAAGGUUGACAGAAAAAAACCAAAUUUCAAUCGGUAUUGGGAUCCCCUCCCGAAUGAUAGGGGAUUUGGCACUAAUUUUUAAAAUCGAUUCGAUACUAAUUUUAACAAACACUUGCUUUAAACCAACUUAUUCUUCUACCACAUAAUUUACUUAACUUUCAUUACAUGAAAAAUAGUCAUUUUUUUUACCUAACUUGUUCGACAAUAGUUAAAUAUGUUGGUGAGAGGGCAGUUUUCAAUUGUAAAAAUCAAGACAUCGAGAAAAACUAAAAUGGCUAUUUGGUUUUUCUAAUGAAAAACUAAAACAACUAUAUGGUUUAGCGUGAAAUUUUAGCUUCAUUGGUAUUUAUGACGAUUGUAACUAACCAUUAAAAAUGCAUAAUUAUUUUCUACCUGUAGUGAUUUAGGUGCUGUAGAAUUCGAUUAGCAAUCUAAGCACUGCCCAAGAUCACAAACCAGAUCCACUAGAUGCUAAGAACCCAAACAAUCAAGCUUUAAGUUUCAACAAAACCUUUAACGAAAAUGGCUUAAUCAGAACACACUCAGAACAAGAAUUAGAAACCAAUCACACCCAAAAGAAAGAGAAAUAUUUACGUGGUUCGAUUGUGCAAAGAAGCACAAUCUGCAUCCACGGGAGAAGCCCACCCACAGAGCAAGCUUUAUUGAUGAUUCAAGUAAUCUUUACAGAGCAAUACAAGAGCUAACUACUAGGAUCAAGAAGAAGAUUUCUCUCUAUCUUAACUCUCUCUAUCACGCUCUCAGAUCAUCCAUGAAACUGCUUCUUUAACCAGCUUAUAUAGCAGCUGAUAAAGAACCCAGAAGCUGCAGAUUUCCGCCACCUGGACUAACAGCUUCUAACUGAUUUGAUUCUCCACCCCCCGUGCACUUCACAUGUUUCACUUAAGCCUUUUGCCGAAACGUCUCCAGCUCCUGCCGUUUUGAACUGAAGUGAAUCACAUGCCAUGCUCGUGACUCCUGAGUAUAUUAAACAUAUUCCAAACGCUGUCGUUUAACAUGCUCAAGUUUUGGAUUCAGCAUUUUAGUCCACACUACCGUUUCAAAAACAUAGUCGAAAAUAAAAUAAUAUUUUCAAUUAUUGUAAUUUUUAAUCAAAAAUAGAAAAAUAUUCUUAAAUGUAACUAGGAGUUGGUUGAAAAAACCAUUAAAAAGAUAUAAAAUUUUAACAGACAACAUGGGCACCAAUAAUGCUUUUCACUACUAUAACUUGCAAGGUUGGUCAAAGCAAAAGCUGUAAGGGUAAGUAAAUAUAAUAUAAAAUUAUAUAUCAUCUAAAAGAAAAGUAAUUGUAAGUUUUUUUUCUUAGUUUACUAUUUUUUUUUAUCAAACAUGAACUAGAUAAUUAAAUAAAUAAUUAAUUAAUUAAUGUACUUUUUUUUAUAGAAUUAAUUAAUGUACUUAAUUGAAAAUAAAAUUAACUUCUACGAUGCAAAUAGAAUUUGAGCCCUUAACUGAAAAGAUAAAAUAUGAAAGUGCCUACCACUUGAGCAAGAAAUAAUUUUCAGUAAAUUAUAAAUUAAAUAAUUAUGAAAGGAUUGAUUUUUUCUAAAGGUUUUACUAGGUGCAAUGAUUAGUAUUAAAAAUUGUUUAAUUAUCAAGCGAUAAUAUGUUAUUUUAUGCUUAUGUUAUAAUUUAUAUUUGUGUUUAUGUAAUAUAUUAUGAAUUAUUAAUUAUGUUUUAAAUAUAUUUAAUUUUGUGUAUUUUUAUGUGUUUAUUAGGAAAAUUAUUAAUUUCACGUACUUCGAGGCUCCAAACAGAUAAACGGAGGUCAAAUUUGGAUUCCGGAGGUCCGAAAACCUUAAGAUCCGUGAAGAUCGGCUUAAAAUUGGGCUUGUGUAAAAAAAGUUGACUUUUCCUGUUGACCGAGCACUGAUUGGAUGAUGAAAUGAGCUUACAAUAGAUAUGAGUGCAUGGGAUAACUGGCAAUCUUGACUAAAUCUCAACCGUUCAUGAUUCAAUGGCCAUGAUUGUGCCACGUGGCAAUGGUUGGUGAAGCAAGUUGGAGGAUCCGAAUCUUUGUAUUCGGGUCGACCCGAUCCACCCAUUAACCCGCCAAAUCUCAACCGUUCUUUGGGCAAAUCGGACGAGUCAAAUGAUGCCAUGUGUGAUGUUGACUUUUGAAGUUUGACCAGCCAUUGGAUCUUGAUCUAAGGGUUGUGAGGAGCACAUGCAUGAAGCCUAUGAUGGACCGCAAAGCACUGGAUUAUGAAUUUAUUUUUCUAUAAAUAGGGCCUCAUUUUUAUGUUUUAAUCAUCUCUCUACAACUCUCUUCUUCUCAAAUUCUCUCAAUCUCCUUGUAAUCUUGAUUUCCAGGUGUGUUUUUAAUAUUUUGUAUAAUUAUUUUCAUUAAUAAAAUUAGUUUUAUUUCCAAUUUUAGUUGUUUUUAUUUCUUUUAAUUAUAAGUAAUUCAAUUUUACUACUUCUUUUUAUUUUAAUUAUGCUUAACUAAAUAAUAUUAGUUAGGGGAAGGUGAAACUCUUAAGAAAUAAAUAUGAUUUAAUCAAAUUCUAUGUUUAAUUUUAUAAAUUAAAUUAUUUUCUAUUUAAUUUUAUACAUGUUUUAUAUUUUGAAAUUUUGAUUUAUUGUAGACAAACAAAUGAAUUUGGCACAAUAAAUUCUUAAGAUCUUAAUAUAAGGCAUGGUGAAAUGGUAUUUUGACUUAUUGUAGACAAAUUAAAUUUUGGCACAAUAAAUACUUAAUCCAUCAUAAAAUUAAAGGGAAAAUAAUAAUAAUUUGUAUAAUUAAUCUUUUGAGUAAUAAAUCUAAAAAAAAUUGGCAAAAAGAAUUUAUUAAGUUUUAUUUAUUUCUAAGAGUGGAUCCAUAACCCUAACUAGUUCAAUUCCAUAGUUUCAUUUAAAUUAAGUUGUUUAUAUUCAAGUUUUAAUUUCAAUUUUUAUAAAAUAAAAUAAACUAAUUAAAUAUUUUCUCUGUGGAUCGACCUCGGACUCACCGAGUUAUAAUACAACAAGACACUCUUAUACUUGGGAGUUAAAAUUUACUUUUAAGUUGUGUCAUGCAACAAUGGAAUUGAAUUACCUUAUUUAACUUAGAAGCUAUUGAUUGAUUACAGCAUAGAUAUAAUGUAUGAUAUCUUAAAAUUAAACAUCAAUUAACUUCGAAAUUAUAUUGUAGUUCAAAUAAACUCUAUAAUAUUUAUGAUCACAUUCUAUCUUAUACACAAACUUGAAACUUAUGUUAUUGGUUAAGUCUCAACUAUUUUAAUCAUUAUCAUUGAAUCAAUUUAGAAAUUGAUUAUCGAACUAGCUGGUAUUUUAUAGUUAAAUAUUUAAAGAAAUAAUGUCUAUGAUUGAUCAUAAUUAUUGUUGAAUCAAUUUGGAGACUAGCUAAUUUUCAAAUUAAUGUAAUUAUCUAGUGGUCAAUUUUAAUAAAUAGAGUCUAAUAGUUUUCAUAAUUGUAUUAUACUCAUAAUUGUGGAGCAUGGAACGUAUACUUCAUACUUAAAACUUAUUGCAUAUAUUAAAAAAAAUAGAUGAUUAGUAAUUAACAUUUAAUUAUAGUUGAAAUAUUAAUUAUUAAAUUAGUCUAAUUGUCUAAGAACAGUCAUACAAUUAAUUUCAAUAGAUAACAAGAACUAUUGCAAUAAUUUAUUUAUAUUUUAAAACAUAUCUCAACUAUGAAUUAUUAAAACUAAUAUAGCUUCAUAGUUUUUAGGCCAAUAUCUAUUUUCAUCUUUUGUUUAUCUUAUUAAUUUAAAUUUAAAAUCUAUGUUAAAGAUGUUCUAUCAAUCAAUUUAGGCUAUAGAUUAAUUAAACAAUCUAGUAAUCACAUAAUAGGUAUUACAUAUAAUUGUUCAAUUAUAAUAAACUUUAAAUUUGCAUUAAUGAGAUAAGAAGUUUUGUUUUGCAAUUAAUCGAAUCGUAUGCUAAUAAUUUUCAAUAUUUAUUAUUAUUUCAAUAUUUAUUAGUAUGAAAUAGCUAACUUAGGAUAAAUAAAUUGAUUGAUUGAUUUUUUUCUUAAAUUUUAAUAUCUUGUAUUAUCUCUAUUAACUAUUUGGUCCACUUAAUUACUAUAAUGCCACCUAACUAAAGUUUUUAGUGCAAGUGUAUGUGUACCUAUUCUCCACUCUCUCUAACAAAUAUCUCAAUUAGCCACCGAAUCAAAUCUAAUAAUAGAAUAAAUAAAUAAAAGCCACCGAUAUUAAGCGCAACAGAUGAAUUCAUGUCCUCUUCUUUUGUAUAUUCUCUCCAAAGCUUUCAACUCUAUUUUGGGGUCAUUUUCUUAAUUUUUUUUAAUUAAACUAUAUAGAAACUGGGGAGAUGUUUUCAGAUAUUUAUUAAUUUUUAUCCUUCACCUUUAAUUUCUUAAGUUUGACAUCAGUUAUUAAGCGCAACGGAUGAAUUCAUCUCCUCUUCUUUUGUAUAUUCUCUCCAAAGCUUUCAACUCUAUUUUGGGGUCUUUUUCUUAAUUUUUUAAAAUUAAACUAUAUAGAAACUGGGGAGAUGUUUUCAGAUAUUUAUUAAUUUUUAUCCUUCACCUUUAAUUUCUUAAGUUUGACAUCAGUUAUUGUUGGCCUCACUCUCACAUGGUUGGUUUGAAGCUUUUCUAUCAUGUAGUUCGGUGAAAAUUAUUUUAUUAAUCGUGACUUGCAGGUAAGAAUUAUUAUUAUUAUUUUGUGUUAUGUUUUUAAUUUAUUAGAUUUUAAUUCACAAUUUAUUUGAUAACAAGUGAAAGAGAUGUUAAUUAGGAUAGAUUCAUUUUCUUGUUUAGUAUAUAGGAUUUUCUACUUUAAUUUAAUUGUAUCUUAAUUUUUUUUUUUAUUGUUAUCAAGGGAAUUAAGAGCCUAGGAAGAAAAAUUAUGAUAUUCAACUUUCUUAAGGAUUCAGUUGCUCAAUCCACAUUGAUUCUAUCUUUUAUCAACAGCAAAAUAUCAUUGCAAGAGUGCCAUGUAGCCUUUGGUGUAUUUUAUUUAAUUUAAAUAUUUGUCAUGGAUUCAAUGAUUAAUACGUAUUUAUUUUAUCUUUUAGUAACAUUAAGUUAUUGUAAUAGCAUCAUGUAGCUUUAAGUCAUUGUAAUGGUGUCGUGUAGCACUUGUACUUUGUUUGAGUUGCACAUGUAUUUGUUGAAAUUAUUUAGCACUUUGCCAUUUCAUUGGCCUUUUGCCAUUUCUCAUAAAGCCUCCUCUGAUUUCUAUGAGCAUCAUCCGUUGGAACUGGAGGGCAUGGCUGGGUUAAGACAUAUUUAUAAUUUUCAGCAGUCAGGACAAUGAAUAGAUUUCUUUUCCAAUUUAUAUAGUUCUCUCCAGUGAGUUUGUUUUGACUCAGAAUAAUAGUAAGUGGGCUCAUGGAAGACAUUUUCUGAAAAAUAAAACAUCCAUGCAUAAAUAAUUUGAAAUAAUAUUCACAAUAAAUGAAAAAAAUGCAAAAAACCAUAAAUGCAUUUUAAUUUAUUGUAACGAUAAUCUAGUACCGCUUUGACAAGCUAUCCGUUGGGGAAGUCAUGUCUACACUUACUAGACCCAAUUAUCCAUUGGAUUAUUUACUUUCAUGUAAAGACAUGAUAAAUAAAUGUCGUUAUCCUUUUGGACCUAAAUUUGUUAACAGAGCUUCGUUGGGAAGGUUAAUAACAAAUUUUAGUUGAGUGUAUAACCAUUGUUUCAAUCUAGAUAUUUUUCAUAUCAUUAGUCACCGUUGGGGUGAACAAUCGAUUAAAAAAUAUUUCAAUUUUAUCUUUGAAGAAGUUCAUUAAAUAAAAUAUCUAAUAUAUAUACCCUCCGAAGGGAGCAUCACCGUAUCAUGAAGUCGAGGUAUAUAUAUAAUUUUAUUAUUGAACUAACAAUGGAGCCCGUGGGAAAAAUUAUCUUGAAUUUUCCCUCUCCCGCUCAAUAUUUUAAAAUUGGUUUUUCCUUUUUAAAACAUACAUAUUGUUAAUUGCAUGCUUACUAUAAUAUUUUCUAGAUGAUAUCAAAUAUUAUUAAGCACGUGCAAAUUUCAAACAAUAUAAUGAGAUUCAUUAUUAAUGAAUUACAUGUAUCAUUAUGCAUAGAGUGGCACUACCUAUCUAUAUGACAUGUUAUCAUGGCAUGUAAUCAUCCAAAACAUAACAUAUAGAAAAACAAUUAAAUAAUCUUAAUUCAUGGCUUUCCUAAUAAUGAAAAAUACAUUAACCCUAAGCCUAAUCUUCAUUGAGCUUCUUGUCAAUGUCCAUCUUCCAUAAAUUUGUCUUUGUUAAUGGACUAGGGAAAAUUGGGCUUUAAAAUUUAUAAUUGGUCCAAUUUUAAUUUUUAAAAGAAAUAAAUAAAUAAUUAAAAAAAAUUAUUAAAAUAAAACUUUUGGAGCAAAAAUAAAUUUAAUGUGUUCAAUUUUAUCUAUGUAUUUUAAUCCAUUAAGCCCAAUUGAAAUUGGGCCUAAAACUAGGAUUUACUUAAACCCAAAACUGUUUUUGGAUUUAAACGCAAAAAUUAAAAAUAUUUCUGCCCAAAAAGAAAAACUAUGGAGCCAUAGGGACCUCAAUGAUAGAAACCAUUGAAACCCUAAAUCCAUCUUUUCCUCUUUCCUUUCUUCCCCAGCCGCCACCAGCAGACUGUUCAGAGACGCCGACCAUCUCCGACGCCGAAACACUCGCCGCCACGUCGCCGGAAACGCACCAAACUCGCGCGGGCAGCAAGCUGCGCGUGCAGCGCGCGCUGCUGGCCAUUGCUCGCCGCAAGCGCUGCUUUGCAGCGCGCAGCACAGCUGAUGGCUGGCAGCGUGCGCUGCUGGCAGCGUGUGCUGCGAGCCGCGCGCUUGCUGGCAGCAUGUGCUGCUGGCCGAGCGCUGCUUGCUGCUGGUUGCCGCUGUCAAAAAUUCCGGCCUCCGUCACUCCGAUCUUGAAAAUCCGAGAUUAAUUUACAAAUAUCCUAGGCCAAUAUUGGCUUACAAAAAUUCUAUAAUAGUAAAAUAAAUCAAGAGAGAAAUAUAGUGAUAAAAAAUUACCCCUCUUGUUACAGAUCCAAGCGAAAAAUACAACAGAAAAUCUAACAAUAAAUUAAGACAAACCAUAACAUGAUUUAUUCAUAUAUUAAUAAAUAAUAUAUAUCUGAAUAAAAUGUGUCACUUUAAUACAUAAAUUUCAAGAUUAAUUUCAUACGAAAUUCUUAUAUAUUAAUAUGAGAUGGCUCUGAUACCAAUUGUUGGGGAAAAAUCAGGUUUUUAAAUUUUUUAUAAAACCUUUUGAAGAUCGCUAUCAUAUAAUAUAUAAGAAUUUGUAUUCUAGAAAUCGUACCUUGAAAAUCUGAUUUGGCUUUUUCCGUUGAAGUGAUUUAGGCUCCUAGAUCACGAUCCGCCACCACCACUCCUGUUAGAUCACGAUCCUGCACCACCACGCUUGUUAGAUCACGAACUGUCACCAAUGAUCUUCCAGGUUAUGACUUAGGUUCGAUCUGCACUUAACGUGUGGGCGCCUUUAUCACUACCAAAGCAACUAGCACGAGAAAAUUUUUCUCUCAACAAUAGAGAGAAAAAUCUUUUUCUCUGAUUUGUAUAAAGUGGCUUCUGUCUUUUUCUUUAGAGAAAAUAAGCCUUAUAUAUCUCCCUUUAGUGAAAACCCUAGGCUCCAAAUAAUGCCCUAAAUAAAACUCACGUUACUUUUCAUUUAAUAGGGGACCCACUAUGUAAAAUAACAUAAGGCCCCUUACACAUAAGCUAAUUAAAUGGAGCCUCCCACUAAAUGAUAUAUUUAGGCUUUUGACCCAAAUAGCUAGUUAUCUUGCUUAUUAGUCCAGUAGUGGUGCAGUCAAUUAAAUGAGCUAACCCGGGGAUCAUUUGGGAACAUACAAUAGUGGCUACAAUAAUUAGACAUGUAAUUAAACUAGCCCAAUUAUUUAAUUCCAAAUCUACUCCACUAAAAGAUUGGAACUGACUUCCAUAAUUGUAUGCUCGAAUAAUAAUUCGUCUCAAGCCACAUUGAUUUCUUUACUGCACAAUCCUUUGUACCACAUCGUUAAUUAAAUUGAUAUCUCAACUGUCCAAUCAAUUUAAUAACAUCUUAUUCCUUGAUCCUUACUGGUUUUCUCUAAUGAUCAUUUUCAACAUACUAAAUAUGUUGACACACUCUGGCCAGAGAAUUCUAUGAUCAAGUGCCGAAAACCCAUCAAGAGAUGUGUUGUACAAAUUCUAUAUUGUUAAUCUAUAACUCCAAUACUCAUAAAUGCUCCCACUAAGAUACCGGGUAAUCUUGACCACAAGUAUGUGUCAUGCCCAUUGGUAACUCAAAUGGAAUAACAAUUACAAUCAUGAAAUCAUAAUUAACUCAAGAUUAAGAUUACAGUAAAAUCAAUGCCUAUGAGAUUUAAUAAGUCUGACAGUUAUUACAAAGUUAAUUAAAUCUCAUAUUUGAUCCUGUUCAAUGUAGUCGUACUACAUCAAUAAAUUCAUACAUGAUUAAGACAAAUCAUUCAAUGAAUUUAUUACAGUCUAUACCUAAAUAAAGUGCCCAACUUUAUUUAUCAACUGCGAACUAAAUUUAUUUAAUCAUAAGAUAACUUGUAUUUAUGUCUUCUGUGAAUCCACAUGGUGAUCACAUAAAUACAUAUAAUAUGAUUAAAUGGACUUUAAUAUAAAUAUUAAUGCAAUUAAGAUAUUUGAAUAAAAUACCUCAUUUAUUUUAUUAAUCAGAAAAAUUGUUUAUUACAAUUAAAUAAACACAUAUACUUUUAAAGAGUAUAUUUUCCCAACAAUGCAAAUCCACCAGGUGUUGAGUUUCUACCAUCAUUCACUCUUGAGCUUGAUGUUGUUUCCAAGUUCUUGCAACGCUUCUGCUUGGCACAGAGAAGUAAAUUUUGUAAGUAAGUACACUCAAUCAAAUACUUCAUACUUAACAUCGAUUGCAUAUAUUAAAAAAAAAUUAGAUGAUUAGUAAUUAACAUUUAAUUAUAGUUGAAAUAUUGUUUAUUAAAUUAGUCUAAUUGUCUAAGAACGGUCAUACAAUUAAUUUCAACAUAUAAAAAAACUAUUGCAAUAAUUUAUUUAUAUUUUGAAACAUAGCUCAACUAUGAAUUAUUAAAACUAAUAUAGCUUCACAGUUUUUGCAUCAAUAUCUCUUUUCAUCUUUCGCUUAUCUUACCAAUUUAAAUUUAAAAUCUAUGUUAAAGAUGUUCUGUCAAUCAAUUUAGGCUAGAGAUUAAUUAAACAAUCUAGUAAGCACAUAAUAGGUAUUAUUAUUAAUUGUUCAAUUAUAAUAAACUUUCAAAUUGCAUUAAUGUGAUAAGAAGUUAUGUUUUGCAAUUAAUCGAAUCAUAUGCUAAUAAUUUGCAAUAUUUAUCAGUAUGAAAUAACUAACUUAGAAUAAAUUAAUUAAUUGAUUGCUUUUUUCUUAAAUUUGAAUAUCUUGUAUUAUCUCUAGUAACUGUUUGGUCCACUUAAUUACUAUAAUCCCACCUAACUAAAGUUUUUUGUGCAAAUGUAUAUUUACCGUAACCCACGUUCUCCAUUCUCUCUAACAAAUCUCUCAAUUAGCCACCGAAUCAUAUCCAUUAACAGAAUAAAAAUAAAAGCCACCGAUAUUAAGCACAAUGGAUGAAUUCAUCUCUACUUCUUUUGUAUAUUCUCUCUAAAGCUUCAAACUCUAUUUUAGGGUUAUUUUCUUAAUUCUUUUGAAUAAAGCUAUAUAGAAUCUGGGGAGAUUUUUUCAAAUAUUUAUUACCUUUUGUCCUUCACCUUUAAUUUCUUAAGUUUGACAUCAGUUUUGUUGGCCUCACCCUUGGCUGAAAGCUUUUUCCGUCAUGUAGAUCGGUGAAAAUGAUUUGAUUAAUUGUGGCUCGGAGGUAAGAAUAAUUGAUGGUUGUCGAAGCCAGCAAAAAUAAAUACCUACUCUAAAUAAAUUGUGUAUAGUGAUUGAGCAGGGUCGUGUCCACAGAGAUCGGUAAUAGUUAAAUCUUUUUUAAAAUGUAAAUUGCAAAAUGGGGGGAUUGUUGACAAUAACAAAAAUCAAAUUAAAAUAACAAGAAUGCAAAUUAAAAUUAGGAAAAGCUUUGGUUGAAGGAAUUUACUCAGCUUGAAUAGAUCAUUACUACUUAUGAAUAGACCGGUUAUAACUACUGAGACCCUUUAAUAGCCAAUCUCUCCUUAACUAGUCGAUAACCAAGGUACAACUAUUGGUUAUUUCCCUAAUCAAUAGAUAACCCUAGAUACGAUCAUAGGAUUUAAUCAAUUGACAGCCUGAAAAAUCAAAGAGACGCAAAUCCUAAUCAACAAACGCAUACGAUGGUUCAUUUAAAUUAGAUUGUUUAUUCUCAUAACACAACGCACUGCUAUGCUAUUUGUCACAAACAUUAAAAUCUUACGAUGAAUCCUUUAAUUGACAAUAGAUUAAGUUGAUAAUUAAAUAGUGGCCAAUUAUCUAAUUAACAAACAUAAUCAUGACAAUAAUUUAGAGAAUAAACAAAUACCCAAAAAGCAAUAAAACAAUUAAAGCAUAAGAAAGAUCUCACAGUAAUGAUGAAUCAAAACUUCAUUAAUCUUCAACCAGAAUAAUAGGUUUAGUUCUUCACAGAGAGAAGAGAAAAAUUUAGAUCUAUGGUUUUCUUUUUUACAAUAGAUUCCCCCCUUCAAUUCUCUCUCCCCUCUUCUCUUCUAGAGUUCUUUUUAAAUAAAUUACUAAUAUCUAAAAUAUUAUCUAAAUAUUAAAUUCGGAAUUACAAAAAUAACAAAAAAGACAAAACACGUUAAACUAAUAACUGCAGAUCCGUAGUUGACAAUACGCGUCCACGCCUUAUCAACAAAGUUCUUCUGAAGCUCAUAAUUUCUCCAGGAAAAACAAUCAUCCUAAAAAAUCAUCUUGUAGCUCAAUUUUAGCACCAAUCAAUAUAAUUGCACCUACAAAAAUAAAACACAAGUAAAUCACUAUUAUUAAGUGCAAAACAUCGAUAUUAAAGAAAGUAAACAAUGCAAAACUAGAGCAUAAAUUGCACUCUAACAAUAAUUAUUUUUUUUUGUGUUCAUGUUUUUAAUUUAUUGGAUUUAGUUCACAAUUUAUUUUAUAACAACUGAAAUAGAUGUUAAUUAGGAUAGAUUCAUUUUCUUGUUUAGUAUAUAGAAUUUUCUACUUUAAUUUAAUUGUAUCUUAAUUUUUUUUUAUAUAUAUUGUUAUGCAGUGAAUCAAGAGACCUAGGAAGAAAAAAUUAUGGUAUUCAACUUUCAUAAGGAUUCAAUUGCUCAGUCCACAUUAAUUCUAUCUUUUGUCAACACCAAAAUAUCAUUGGAAAGAGUGCCGCGUAGCUUUUGGUGUAUUAUCUUUUAUUUAAGUAUUUGUCAAGGAUUCAAUGACUAAUACAUAUUUAUUUUAUCUUUUAGCAACAUUAAGUCAUUGUAGUAGCAUCAUGCGGCUUUAAAGUUGAGAAAUUAAGAAAAAUCAUUGAAAAUAUAGAAAAAUCGGGUAAAAAAUGAAGUACAGAACAAGUUAGACAAGCAGUGGGACAGGUGCCUGUCUCACAUAAACCCACUGAUUUUAUGGAGUAUAUGAUUUUAGAUUUGAUUUGUCUUGUCGUAAGCUUCGAAAUGGUAUAAUUAUUGUAAUAUUUUGGCUUACUACUCAGAACCCUAAUACAUGCAAUCUCUCAAAUUACUAGAACAAGAGCUUUUAUUAUUUAAGCUCUACAAAACUCUCUGCUUUGCAGGAAAUGCUUCUCACAAAAUUGGAUGCAGAAAUGAGGAGGAGGAACCUCUUUUUAUACCAAAACUUGGCUAUUGUUCAUGCUUUAUUUAAUUUUUUUUUCUUCUUCUUUUUCGGUCCAGCAUCCAUUUUUUCUUCCUCUUUCUUCUUUCUCUUCUUCCUCUUUUGUCUUCUUUCUUCUUUUCUUUUGUUCCGGUCAAAGAAGCAACCAAUGCAUUCUUCUUCAAAAUGAGUGGGCCCACCUUCUAGAAGGGUGGUGCCCACAUGCCAUUUUCAUCAUUAAAUAGAUGAGGGUUGGAAUAUAAUCUUUUCAAUGUGAAUCAUGAAGGAUCUAUUCAAAAUAAAAGUGAUAAAGAUUAAGGCUCCGUUUGGUAUAACUUAUUAAAUAGAGCUUAUAACAGUAGAGCUUAUACCAAUAGUGCUUUUGGACAAAAAAUCAUUGGGUGUUUGGUUGUCAAUAAAAAAAUACUUUUGAACCAUUAAACUGUGUGAUAUUUUUUAUAUUAUAUAUUUUUUAGAAAAGCUCUCUAACCUCUACUUUCAAAAGCUCAAACUUGAGUGAAGGUAGUCUUCUCCCUUACCCAUGAGUGAGGAGUAGACAUCCCUCGAAUAUUUGUGAAGGUUAAAAUCUGGGCAGAGCUCCAUUAGCAUUGAUGUAAGUUGGUUCCAGUAAUUGUCUGAUUUGUAAAUAUCAGUUAUAGUCUCAUGUAAUAUGAGUUGUAAUCUGAGCAAUAGUCUCAUGUAAUCAAAAAAAAAAAAAAAGCUCAAAUUUUGGGCUUUUGCUAGUAGAGGUAAAUUAGCUUAUUUAAGCUAAAAAAAACUCUAUUAAAAAAAUAACCAAACACCAUAAAAAAUUUUAAAAAGUGCUUAUGCGAUUAAAUAAGCACUUAUGGCUCUUAAAUAAGCCAUACCAAACAGGCACUAAGAAAGAACUUAAGAAGCUAAGAGCUUUUAGAAGUCUUUGAAGAAAUAAUAUCAAUUUGAAAGGAAAAGAAUUUAAAAUGAAGAAGAAAAAGAUAAUUGAUAAGAAGUAAGACUAACUGUACAUCUGAUUGAGGAACAGGCUUGUUAAUUCAAACUAUUAUAACCAAUUGGGAAUUGAAUUAAGUUAACAGUUAACUCGUAAUUGAAUGUCUAAACUAACAAUGUAUACAAUUACAGCUGAGACUAUAAAAUUGCAAAAAUACUGCUGAUUGUGAAUCAAUUUGAACAUGCCAAUCCUUAGGAAUUCCUUUCAGUAUCAUGGGAUUUAGAUCUCAAUUACCUUUUUUAUUUGAGUACGAUGACAUCCCGAACUAUAAAAAAUACCCACUUGUCCAAACGUGCCUAUGUCCACUUUAUCAUUUAUAUAUGAAAUGUUCUAAUUAAAUGGAGCAAGUCCACAUAACAAUCAUUUUCAAUUACCCAGCAUUUGGAAUACAGAUGCUUUGUUUCUUCGUUUUUUUAAUUUUUUGUUCUUUUUUAUUUACUUGAUACAACUAAUAAGUAAACUCAUAGCAUUUUCUAUCACCUCUUUUUUAGUUGGGAGUAUUAGUAAAUCAACUCUGUAAUGCUCUGCCUCUUUACCAUAAAAGCUGCAUUUUAAUGGCAUCAGCUUACAAUUAUGUGUACUAAGUAAAACAAUUCUUUAUUGUGACAUCUUCAUCCUCCAGAAAAUACAUAAAUAAAAAACCACACCAUCGUUGUUGUGAUUUCAUAACAGCAUCAUCCAUCACUUUCCUACAAGCUUUAGAAGGCCGGAGGCUGAAGCACAAUCAAUUGAGUUGUUAUUGCAUUUCUCACAGCAAGAGUGCGGCGAUUCAAUUGACUUUUUGGCACUUUUGAUGGACGGAGUUAAAUGGUGGGUUUCGGCUUGCGGUUACUUGUGUUUGUUCAAUUUUGAUAAAGGAAAUUUUAUUUUUGUUAAAAUCCAUGAAUAUUAAUUACUACCUUGUUCACUGUUCAGUAAAAAUAAAACAACAGUUUUUUUUUUAAUUUAACAAUAUUGUGUUAGAAUAUACUUCCCAGGUAAGGUUGAUAGAAAAAACCAAAUUUCAAUCAGUAUUGGGAUUCUGUCCCAAAACAAGCACUUACUGAUUACAACUUUUACUAACUUAUUUUUCCACCACACAAUUUACUCAACUUUUAUUUAUACCACACAAUUUAACUUAUUUUAACUAUCACUAACUUAAGUUACUUGGCUAGGGCAAAAUUAUGUUGCAACUGUGGUAUGAUACCACAGUUGCAAUCAGUCAUUAAAUCCACAGUUGUACAAUUGUAUUUGUUGGACCCAAUGAUUAAAAGUAACUGUGGUAUCAUACACAGUUGCAAUAUAAUUGGACCUACUUUGCUAACAUAUUAUAGAAACCAACAUCCCAGAUUUUUCUUAAGAUAUUUCUACAGAUAUUUUAACAUUUUAGAUUAUAAAUUACUUUUCAACACUUAAUUUAAUCACUAAUUGUUGACGAAGACGAAGCCAACAAAUUUGUUUCGUUGUGCUAAUCGGACAAGCGAUAAGGACUUCACAAGAGUACAAAACAGAGCCUCGAUCUAAUAAUAUUACUGAACAUAGCAUUUUUGUUUCCUUAUUAAUGGAUUUGUUUCCUUAUUAAUGGAGAGAGGCAGUUCUGUUUUUGCAGUGAUUAAGCGCAUAGAAGAUAUUAAUGGCUUUACUUAUCAUCAUCAACUUCCUUUUGUGUCUCCCCUUCUUCCUCUUCUUCUUUGCUUUGCAAAGGCUCAUAACCUCAAGAAAUAAUACUAAAUUACCACCCGGCCCCUGGGGCCUUCCCUUAAUCGGUAACUUACACCAGUUUGAUGUCUCAAAGCCUCAAGUGUCAUUUUGGGAGCUGUCACGGAAAUAUGGCCCCCUCAUGUCCUUGCGUCUUGGUUUUGUGCCAUCCCUAGUAGUUUCCUCAGCAAAACUGGCUAAAGAGAUAUUAAAAACCCAUGACCUUCAAUUUUGUAGCAGGCCAGCCUUGGUAGGACAACAAAAGUUAUCUUACAAUGGUCUUGAUUUGGCGUUUUCACCCUAUGAUGAAUAUUGGAGAGAGAUAAGAAAAAUUUGUGUCAUUCAUCUCUUUAACUCUAAUAGGGUACAAAAUUUUCGACCCAUUAGAGAAGAUGAAGUUUCAAGAAUGAUUGAAAAGAUUUCAAAAUCAGUUGCUGCUUCUAAUCCCGUAAACUUAAGUGAGGUAAUGAUGUCUCUUACCAGCACCAUUAUUUGUAGAAUUGGUUUUGGCAAGAGGUACGAUGAAGAUAAAGCAACAAGUGGAAGAAGUAGAUUCCAUGCCAUGCUUAAUGAAACUCAAGCCUUGUUUGUAAGCUUUUUUGUUACAGAUUAUUUUCCUUUCAUGGGCUGGAUUGAUAAGCUCACAGGAAUGAUGCAACGCCUGCAAAAUAACUUCCAAGAAUUCGAUAGAUUCUACCAGGAACUCAUCAACGAGCAUUUGGAUCCAAACAGAACUAAAUCAGAAUUGCCGCAACCGGAGGAUAUAAUUGAUAUUUUACUUCAAAUACGAAAAGAUCGUGGAUUUAAAGUUGACUUGACUUUGGAUCACAUCAAAGCAGUGCUCAUGGUGAAUAAUUUUAUAAAUAGUUAUAUGUAGACUCGUGCUUAGGCGCAGACUCAAAAUUUUGCGCAGAUACCCAAUUUUACAGUCUUGUAAAAUGUUUUAUAAUGCUGUAAAGUGCCCUUUGACGUCCACCUGAGCAUGAUUAAUUUAAUAUAAUUUUAUUUGCUUUUAAGUAAUUUAAUAUGUAUAUAUGUAUGUUGUUUGUUUUGCAGAACGUAUUCGUUGCUGGAACAGACACGAGAGCAGCAACUGUGGUUUGGGCCAUGACUUACCUAAUGAAGAAUCCUAGAGCAAUGAAAAAAGUUCAACAGGAAAUCAGAUCGUUGAUUGGGGGUAACAAAGGCUUUGUAAAUGAAGAUGAUGUUCAAGAACUACAUUAUCUUAAAGCGGUAGUGAAGGAGACAAUGAGAUUGCAACCCACAGUACCAUUACUAAUCCCAAGAGAAACAAUUCAAAAGUGCGUAAUAGAUGGGUAUGAAAUACCAGCUAAAACACUUGUCUUUGUAAAUGCAUGGGCGAUAGGAAGAGACCCUGAAGCUUGGGAGAAUCCGGAGGAAUUUUAUCCGGAGAGAUUCGUUGAUAGCUGUAUUGACUUUAAAGGGCAACACUUUGAAUUAAUACCGUUUGGUGCUGGCAGAAGAAUUUGUCCUGGGUUGAAUAUGGGAAUCGCAACUGUGGAUCUCGCACUUGCUAAUCUUCUUUACAAAUUUGAUUGGGAAAUGCCGCCUGGAAUGAAGAGCCAAGACUUGGACUUUGAUGUUCUGCCGGGAAUUACUAUGCAUAAGAAGAAUGCUCUCUCUCUUUUGGCUAAGUAUCAUGAGUAGGUAAAUUAAGGCACCUCGGACAAUAAGAGUUUGAUCUAAACUAAAUAUAUGUUAUAGAGAUUGCAUGUAUGUCCUCAAUUGUGCUUCUCAUGUUUCCUUUCUUUCUUCUUAUGUAUAAUGAAUGUUGAUGUCUAUGUGCCCAUAGGCUGAGUGGUUUUUAAUAAUUAAAUUUCUUUUAGUUCAAAAUUUUGGGAGGUAAGGACUAGAGAAUAAUGGUUACUCUGCUCACUCUCCUAUACUAAUAAAAAAAAAAGUUGAUAUGAAUGUGAAUAUUAAUCUACUACAUUCAUUUCGUCUCAUAUUUUUUCCCCUAUAUUUUUUGCUUUAGAUUUAACUUCUAUCACUUAAACUGCUAUCUUUUUAUAUGAUUGGAUAGAGAUUGAAAUUUUUGCUGUUCCAUCUCAAUGUUAAUGCUAAUUUUAUCUUCACACCUUUACUGUAAUUUUCUACUUUUACUAUUAGAUGCUGAUAGGGUCUUUUCUUGGAGAUUACUUUACCAAAAAAAGUCUGAAAGAAGAUUUUAUAUCGAUCGGAUAGCAAGCUUGUCCAUAUAGUUUAUGGAUUAUCUGCAAGAGCUCUUUUUAGUGCGCAUACGGUUGUCCCUUCAUGUUAGCAUAUUUAUUCUGUCAUCAAUGAACUUUUGCAUUUAAAUGGUAUCAGUUCAAGUGAUGAAUGAAUUUUACCUAUUGCCUAUCUUGGACUAAAUUUAAUUUCAAAAAAUGAGCUUCCAGCUUAUGACUUAUACGUAUCUUGAACUUUGGUUUUACGAUCACCGUUGGAUGGAAGAGUGGCUUGAGUUUGUUAAUUGCUUCAGUCCCAGGACUAGUGUUUGGAAACAUAAAAUUUAACACUCCCCAAAAUAAUUCAAUAUACAACCAACUCCAAUGAUCAACAUCCUCAACCAAAAUUCUAAGUUUUACUCAAGAUAUCUCCAGAGUCUCAAAAGAUAAUAUUAUAACUAAUAUUAAUAUACCUCAGUUUAUUCUUAAUCCCAAAAGAAUAAUAUAACAAAAUUAUACAAUCUAAAAAGAACAAGAUAACUAUGAUAUCCUAAUAAAAAAAAUCAUCUAUAUCUUCUAACACCAUCACGUGGCCAAGAUUCAAAAUAUAUUUACAGUCGCUGGGUCGGUUUGGUGUACCUGCAACCUCCUGGUGGGAGGAGGGAAUAGAAUAAAAGCGGGAUGAGUAUAAAACUCAGUGAGAUCAGUGAGUGGAUAGUAGUUUUCGAAAAAUUAAUUCUUACUUUAAAAGAAAUAAUUAUAUCAUUUCCAAACACGAUUUCAUCAAACCAUAUGCGAGAAACCAAUAAUAAAUCAUUUAACAUUUAAAUCAGAUUACUAAUCAUGAAAAUCAUAUAUAAUAUCAUGCCUAAUAACUAUGGAAAUCAUAUCACAAUAUCAUAUAAAAUACACAAAUCUGAAAAUCAUCACCAAACAAGUACCCAAGGGAAAAAUCUCGUCGUAUCCGGACCUCAACGGACGGGCAAUGACGUACUAUCUAGGUACUACCAUGCCCCAGAGCUACAUGGAUAGACAUGAAAAUACCAUCUCAUAUCUCAUCAUAUCUCAUUAUAUCUGUGCAUGCAUAAUCUAGUCCCCAAAGGAUAAAAUCGCCCAAGCACACGGCCCAAAGCCUCUGUGUGUACUCAGACGAGUUCCAAAGGCAUGUAUCUCAUCUAUAUCAUAUGUAUCUCAAUAUAUGUCUGUAUCUCAUAUUUGUAUCUCUAUAAUCAUCAUACCACAUGCAUAUGCCCCCAAAAAGCAAAAGCGCCAAAACACACGGCCCAAAAUCUCUAUGUGUGUUUAGAUAGGCCCCAAAUGCCUCUUAUCUCAUCUGUAUCACUGUAUCUGGAGGGAAGGAUAUUGUCCAAUGAUUUUAAAAACAAUCUCUAUACUCAUAUUCAUAUACAUUCUAAUUAUACAUUUCUUUCUUUAUCACAUCUAAAUAUAUUUUUCUCAUCUUUAAAAUACUGUCAUAUUUUAUUCAAUGUUGAUACGAAAAAUCAUUAACCAAACAUUUUAAUAUAAUAUCAAUGCGUGUAUAAAAUCCAUUAUGAGGAAAUCAUUAAAUCAGAACAUUUAAAAUACUAUUUUCGCAAACGUGAUUUACUAUCAUAAUUAAUUAUGAAAAUAUGUUUUGUAUAUUUUACUCACAGCGACAGUGUUCACGCUCGGUUAUCGUCCACGUCUGCGAAUCGGUUCUCGCUCACAGAUCCUCCUAAAUAAAAGAAACGGCAUAAUUAUUUUCUGUAAAUCAGAAUUAAGACUAAAUUUAUGCAAUAAACUCGAAACGAACAUCUAUCCAUAAUUUACAACUCACGUAUCGAUAGAAUUACUGAAAUACCCUCAAAUAUGUAAAUCGUUAAAAUACUCCAAAAUCGUAAAUUAUCGAAUUACCCUCGGAAUCGUAAUUACACCCAAUCCUCAAUUUCAGAAAUUACUAAAAUAUCCACAAGCUCAAAAAUUACAAAAUUACCCUCAGAGUGUGAAAUUACUGAAAUGUCAUUGUCGGUCAACGGUCACUGGAAUUUAGUCAACGCUGUCCGGGAAGCUCAAGUAUGAAAGUUCCAAUAACGCUGAGUCUAAUAGUGCCGGCGGUGAGGUCCCACAUGCGGCAACGACGCCGUGAAUUUCCAACAAUUGGCCGGCGGCGAAACAGUGACUCCCGGUGACUGUAGAUGGUCAGGAAUUGAAGAGGGAGUUGUGGGGAACAAAAGUGAGGUGGUGGCGUGGUCAAAUUCCAAUAGAAUCAACGGCAAUGGUAUGGGUUUUGGCCGCGGUUUCUCAAGCUUGAAACGGCGACGAUCCCGUCGGCUUUCAGCGACAAUGACGACUGGGUAUGAUGGCCGGUCUUCAAGCUUCAGAUUGGUACCAAGCUUGACCGGUGGGGUGGCCAGAAUCGCAAGAUAUGGCCGGGUCAAUUUCGGGUCGAAACGGUCGGGUUUUUGGGUCGGUUUUGACAGCUUCUCUCUCACUCUCUCACACGUGUGUCUCUGUUUCCCCUGUUUUCCACCUUCCUCUUUCAUUUAUUUUAACUUUUUAACCGCCUCAUUUUUUUAUUUACUUUUUCACAUAUGUUACAGAAUAACUUAAUCUUUUGCUAUUUUAUUACGUUCAGUUUAUAUACAGCUGAUUCAUUGUAACAAAUGUUAUCAUAAAUAACCACUCGGGCAGUAGCCCGAGUGGCCAGGGCUGCUGCCCUCCAACAAGUUGGAGGGCAGCAGUUCGAACCCCCACAAAAAUAUUGUGGGGGUAUUUCUUUCCUCAAUUAAUUUGAGUGAAGGUAGUCUUCUCUCUUACCCAUGAGUGAGGAGUAGACAUCCCUCGAAUAUUUGUGAGGGUUAAAAUCUGGGCAGAGCUCCAUUAGCAUUGAUGUCAGUUGGUCCCAGUAAUAGUCUGAUUUGUAAAUAUCAGUAAUAGUCUCAUGUAUAUGAGUUGUAAUCUGAGCAAUAGUCUCAUGUAAUCAAAAAAAAAAAAUGUUAUCAUAAAUGAUUCUCGAGUAAUUUCAUUUAUUUACUUUUUCUUCUUUCACAGUUGGCCUGUACGGUAUCAUUUACUUUUAUCUUUUUUCAAAUUUCUUUUAAUCUAGAGAAUGUUUGUUUUAGUCCUGAUCUUGGGUUACUGAAAUGUUUCAUUCCCUUUUCCUAAGUAUUUUUGUUGCUUGUUUAGCGGGCAAUACUGCAACAGUGAUUUCAAUUCACAAAAUUCUGUAAAUACUUAUUAUUCUUAGUGUGGUUUUAAGGUAGAGUGAAGUUAAUAUUAUCAUAAUGGCUUACAUUCCUCCACAUAUGAGGCAUACUACGGACCCCCAGAGGCCAUCUCCAGUUCCAGAGAUGAUUGUGCCUAAAUUCAACAGAAAAUUAAACUUGGGAUCAUCCAAGCAUAAUGCAGACAUGAGUGGAAAGAUCGUGUAUGCAGACCCUGCCAUACACAGGUUCUUCAUAUGUGGCUUGGAUAAUGAUAGCAGCACUCCUUCUGUCCGCUUUGUGGAGUUUUCAGACGACCCUGUUGAGCAUAAAAGAUCGACGACCAUUAAUCUGGCUCGAGGUUACUGAUCUGCAUUUGUAAUUUUAUCUUAAAUAUGUUCUACUUUCUUUCUUUAUUUAUAUCCGGUGCUAACUUUAGUUAUAAUGACAUUUGGAUUUUGGGUUGGUAGAUAACGAUAAAUUAUGUGGGAAUACGUCAAGAAGCCCGUGGGAAUCGAUGGCAGAAAAUGUAUGGCCAGAUGUAUUGAGUGCUUGUAACAUUGUCAAGAACGAAAUGGAGGAAAAGCCAACAAUGGUUGCUAGAUUUGGCCAUCAUCUUUUCCGUGAGUAUGUGAUCUGGUUCCAUUGCUGUAACAGCUUGAACUUUUUAUUAGGUCAUUCCUUUUCUUUGGACUUUGAAAUUAAAGCAGCAAAAAUGCAUGUUCAUACUAAAUUCUGACAGAAAUCUUAUGGUCAUAUAAGUGCUGGCAGCUAAAAUUAUGAGCUUUACCAUUAACCCUACCACCAGCUGUGGAUGACUGUAUAUCGGACCUCCAAGCCGGGGACAAAAGUUAAAAUUGCUUUUAAAAGCCAAAGAGGAAAAGAUUUGUAGAAAGAAGGAAAAAGAAAAUGGCAAUUUAUAGUGCAUGCACUUCUUUCAGACUUGUAUCUCAUAGAAGCUUUCAUGGCAUCUAGAAUUUGGCUUUGGCUUUGCGUAGGACAUUUCAAUUGUUGCUGGUGGAAACAAAUAUAUCCAUUGUCUUAGUAUUGCUUGAUUUCCGGUGCAAGAAACAAAUAAAUUUGUUGCCGUGGCCAAGUUUUGUUGUUUGAUAUUUCAUUGGGACAACAAAGUAUACCACUGCUUCGCCUAUUUCUUACAUCUUUGCAUCAUAUAUUUCCAUUCUUCUAUCACAUCUUUGAAGCUUCUACUAGUUCUCAUAUUAGAAGCGCCUCAAAGAAAUAAUUAUUAUAUUAUUCGUCUUAAUGAAGGAGUGACAUACUGAGCUUAGAAAAUGCAAAAGAAGGUCAGGUUGCUGAAUCUGCUUUGAGCCCACUGAGGAGAUGCUUUUACACUGGUGUCCCUCCUACAUACAUGGGAAAAAUUGUAAAUGAAGUUGUGCCAAAAAUUGGGGUUGGUUUUGUAGAGAACAAGGAUAUAUACCAUGUCAAGGUAGUUCUCCUGCAGUCCUGCUAAAUACUUUAGUAGUCAUCACCAAGUUUCUUUUAUCUCUCACUUAAUUAGCCAUUGAUUCCCCCCCUUCUUUUUCUUGUGUAGUUGUCUGAUGGCACACGACAAAUUACGUGCAAAUGUACUGUUAAAGAAGAUCAAAAGCUUCAUCUCUAUAAGGCAAGUCUUUUGCUACUGGCUGAGUAUUAUUUAUGGACAACGGGUCCAAGUUUAUAAGUUGCCUCUUGUGUUAAGGAGACUUUUGCUAGUGGAAACAUUGAAACAAGACUUAUGAUGUUUUGAAUUGAAUGAUAUAAUCUUUUCACUGUGAAUUAUGAAGGAGAUGUCGAAUAUAAGCGAUAGAUAUCAAGAAAGAGACGAAACCUUUGUGUCUCAAAAGAACCUUUUAGAAGUCUCUCCAGGAAUAAUCUCAGUUAAGAGGAAAAGAAUUAAAAUGAAAAGAAGGAAGAAAAUUCUCAAGAAGUAAGACUAAUUCUACAUCUAAUUGAGGAACAGGCUUGUUAAUUUAACAAGGAAAGCUCCAGUAGCUAUUUAUUAUAAACCAAUUAAAAAUUGAAUUAAAUUAAUAGUUAACUUGUAAUUGAAUGUCUAAUCCAACAAACUAUGCAUAAGAUUACAGAUGUAACUAUGUAAUACAAAAAACCUCUGCUUAUUGUAGACCAAAGUGAAUAUGCCAAUAUUUAGGAAUUUCUUUCAGCAUCAUGGGAUUUAGAUCCCUAUAAUCUUUUUUUUUUUAUUUUAGUGUAGUGACAUCCGGAAGACCAGAAUUAUCACGUACCUCGUAGUAGUCAUUUUAUGUCUUUUAAAGCGCCACAUUAUUUCCCAUACAGUCAUAAUAUAUCUAUUUGUUGUUUAUUUAUUGUUGUCGUGUGUGGAGUCUCAUCUUGAAUAUGAACAUUUUUCCGGUAGGUCGAGCUGAACUCUGUUCGUCACAUGGUAGCAGACAUGUUAUGCGUUCAUAAAAAUCUAGACCUGAGGUUGGCACUAUGUUCAAAGAGUACCUUAUCUGCUCUCUCGGUAAGUCAAUCUGCUACUCUGUGCAUGUUUAGCUGGACUUUUAAGUUACGCCUUCUUUUUUCCCCUUUUUAUUUUUUUUUGGUCAUUUGCUUGUUGGAAUCAUCAUCAUUACAGAAUGAGGAAGAAAAAUUCAAGACCAGGGGAAAUAAGGAAAUAUUAAACUUAUAGCUUUUGUUUUAUCAUAGAAAGUUUACUUUCAAGGGGUUGAGAAAAAAAAAAAUUAUAUA